GGGGUUGUGGCUCAGUGGUAGAGCAUUCACCUAGCAUGUGUGAGGCCCUGGGUUCAAUCCACAGCACCACA
rnacentral:tRNA from 1 species